rnacentral:misc_RNA from 1 species
GAAAUGCGAUAAGUAGUGUGAAUUGCAGAAUUCAGUGAAUCAUCGAAUCUUUGAACGCACAUUGCGCCCCUCGGUAUUCCGUGGGGCAUGCCUGUUCGAGCGUCAUCUACACCCUCAAGCUCUGCUUGGUGUUGGGCGUCUGUCCCGCCUCCUUCGCGCGCGGACUCGCCCCAAAUCCAUUGGCGGCGGCCCUUGCCUCCCUCUCGCACAGCACAUUGCGCUUCUCGAGGCGCGGCGGACCGCGUCCAGCAAGCAACCGUCACACCGUCUUUGACCUCGGAUCAGGUAGGGAUACCCGCUGAACUUAAGC